UACGUAGGGUGCAAGCGUUGCCCGGAAUUAUUGGGCGUAAAGAGCUCGUAGGCGGUCUGUCGCGUCGGCUGUGAAAACCCGGAGCUCAACUCCGGGCCUGCAGUCGAUACGGGCAGACUGGAGUUCGGCAGGGGAGACUGGAAUUCCUGGUGUAGCGGUGAAAUGCGCAGAUAUCAGGAGGAACACCGGUGGCGAAGGCGGGUCUCCGGGCCGAUACUGACGCUGAGGAGCGAAAGCGUGGGGAGCGAACAGG
rnacentral:rRNA from 1 species